rnacentral:rRNA from 1 species
AUGGAAUGUAUUAUUUACCAAAUUAUUCUUAUUUUAUUUAUAAUUAAGAAUAAUUUGGAAAGUAUAUAAAGAAAUUAUUAUGGAUUAUUAGCAAUAUAUCAGAAGAGAACAGAUAAUAAAAUUCUUUAAUUUGUGUUUAGCACAUAAGCUCUUAGAGAAAUUAAGUAAAAAACGAAGUGAAAAGAAACUUCUUAGUAACUUUAGGAAAAGAAAUCAAAAGAGAUUCUAUAAUUAGUGUGAAUGAAAAUAGAGAAGCCUAUAAAUAAAUAAGUAAAAUGGGUAUUAAUCUGUUUGAAUUAUAAGGGGAACCUUCCUCUAAGGCUAAAUAUGGUAUAUUAGCGAUAGUGAAUAGUACCGUGAGGGAAAAAUAUGAAAUAGUAGUUUUAUAAGCAGCUCGAAAAGAAUUUAAAUAAAUAAUAAGAGUGUACCUUUUGUAUAAUGGGUCAGCAAGUUAAUAUUAGAUGUAAGCAGUAUUGCCUAGAUAAAACGAUUAUCAAAUUAAUGAAAAAAUAUCUAAUAUUAGACCCGAAACCUAGUGAUCUUACCAUGGUCAGGGUUAUAAAAGCCCGAACGGGUUAUCGUUGUAAAGAUAUCCGAUGAAUUGUGGUAAGUUGGUGAAAGACAAAACUGACUAGGAAUAGCUGGUUUUCCGCGAAACCUAUCUAAGUAGGUAAUUUAAAUAACAUCAUAGCAGGUACAGAACUGAGAUCUCAUAUCAACUUAUUGAUUAGUUUUAAUCAAUUUUUUUAAUAUCGGGGAAUCGUGAAGAUUUUACUGAUGAGUAAUCAUCCUCGGAAUGGUAAUGAUGAAUGUUGAAUAAUCAGACAUAGAAUGCUAAGGUUGUAUGUCAAAAGGGAAACAGCCCAGAACAAGUGUUAUAGUAAGGUUCCAAAAUUAUUAUUAAGUGAAAUAAAGGAAGUCUUUUUUUUAAUUCGAUCAGGAAAUAGGCUUAGAAGCAGUCAUUUUUUGAAGACCUCGUAACAGAGCACUGGUUAACAUUGAAAAAGGCAUUGAAAAUUUAACGGAUCUAAAAUAAUAUACCGAAACCUUGUCCAUAGUUAUAAUAGCUUUUUUUAAUAAUUAUGGGGUAGCGGAACGUAGGGUAUAUAAAAGAAUUUUGGUCUUUUUAAGAAAAAUAAUAUAACCCUAGUGAUAAUGCUGAUAUGAGUAACGAUAAAGGCCAGCCUACGGGUUGGCCUCGCCUUAAGCUUAUGGUAUAAAUGAAAGUAACGGCCUCUAAGUUUAUUAACCUAAAGGACUAAAUGAUGAGAAAACCUUGUUUAUGCGGCACAACCUUUAAAUCUUAUUACUAAAUAGGGGGAGGUUUAAUCCCAGCCCUCCGGGCAGCUAUUUAGUAAAAGAUAAGUGAUGAAGAGUUCUGGAAAAAUGAUAAACAUAUAACCGUACCUAAAUACCAUCUCAGGUAAGCAAGUAGAGAAUACGAAGGCGUUUGAGUGAACAAUCAUAAAGGAACUCGGCAAAAUAACUCCGUAACUUAGGGAUAAGGAGUACCGUUCAUCUUAAUUAAUAUCAAGAAAAGUUUAGGUAGCAUAAAAUCGAGUUGUACGACUGUUUAAUUAAAACAAAGCACUUUGCAUAAAGAUGACAAGUCUAAGUAUUAAGUGUGAUCUCUGCCCAAUAUUUGUAGGAUAACGAAUAAGCUCAGUGGAUAACACAAGAUUGGCUUAAGAGGAAUCUCUGAUUAAUGGCGGCCUUAUCUAUAAGGGUCCUAAGGUAGCGGAACACCCUGGCCGUUAAAUGCGGUCUUGCAUGAGGAAUGAUUUAACGAUACAACAGCUGUCUCUAUGAUUGGCUCAGUGAAAUUGGAAUAGCAGUGAAGAUACUGUUUACCUCUAGAUAGACGAGAAGACCCUAUGCAGCUUUACUGUUACUAGCUAUUGCAUAUGGUAGGGCAAAGUUGUAGUGUAUAAGGUAGUUGGUUAGAUAGAAUUGAAACACCUUUACUUUAAACUAUCAUAUAGCUGGGAAGCCGGAUUAUUACGUCCGAGCAUAUCCCCCUCGAAAUAGCAAAUGGCCACCUCUCACUCCUGGCUACGCCAGGAUGAAGGGUGGUGUUAAUUUUAACAACGUUUGUUAAAUUAGGGUGACCAUAUUAUCAUUAAGUAAUGAAUAAAAGAAUAUUGGCUAGGUGGCAGUUUAUGCGGGGCACAGAUCCCAUAAAGAGUACCUGGGUGUAUCCAAAAUAGAAAAAAAUACUAGUGCAUGGGGCGCUUUGCGGCCCAAGCCUUAUUUUAAAUUUAAUUAAAUUUAAGGUAAUUUCAUUAUUAUCUUUUUAAAAUGUUUUAUAUAGUUUAUAUAAAAUUAAAUCAAGUAUGAAUCUAUUUUAGUUAGAGACUUUAUUUAUCAAGAAAGUAAGAGUUAACUAUAUGGAAAAUAGUGGAGAAGUAUAAGUAUUAACUGUACUAAUGUAUGGUAAUAUAUUUUAGUUGCUUAAAUCUGGCUUGAGGCCUUAUGAAAAGCGAUUUUUAUUUUUAUCUCUGAAUAAGUUUAAUGGCUUAAACUUGCUUUACUGUCUGACCUACGAGUCUAUCAGUCGCGUAAGCGGGGCAUACGAUCACAAGAUGCAGAAAGGAAAGGGUCUUGGAUUAUUGAAAAAAGCUACGCUAGGGAUAACAGGCUAAUUGCGUCAGAGAGUACAUAUUGAGUACGCAGUUUGGCACCUCGAUUGGUCGGCUUAGCUUAUCCUCGUGAACGCAGAAAUCAUGAAGGGUACGGCUGUUCGUCGUUUAAAAAGCUACACGAGCUGGGUUAAAUACGUCGUGAGACAGUAUGGUUUCUAUCUUCUAGGGGGAAUUAGAGUAAAAUAAGGGUUGACCCUUCGUACGAAAGGAGUUGGGUAUAGUAACCUCUGGUUUACCUGUUGUUUAUUGUGUCCGAUAUUAAUAUCACCGGGCGGUUUUAAAAACCACCUGUCCUUGUUUAUUCCCUAGCUAGGGAGCAUACAAGGGAAAGAUAAUUUCUUUGUCUAUAUACGAUUUAGGUUCGGAUAGAUAAAGAUAGGGGAGUUACUAUCACUUAAGUAAUUUUAUAGCAUAGGCACGGCAGGAAAGCUACGUUUUUUAAGGAUAAGGGCUGAAUGCAUGUAUGUUCGAAUCCCACUUUAAGAUACUCUUAAAAAAAUACGUGGUAUACUACUACGAUUUAUGUGUUUAAAACAUAUUACUAAUAGGUUUUGACUGUAAGGAUUGCAAUCUUUAGGUAAAAAAUACUAAUUUAUUAUACACUGGAUAAUACACUUAUCGUU